CCUGCCCCGCCGCCGCCGCCGCUGCUCUCUCUCCCUCCCGCGCCCGCCUCCCUGCCCCGCCGCCGCCGUCGCUCGCUCGGGUACCCAUCCACGACCUCGCGCCGCCCCUCUCCUCUUCCUCCCGCCUCACCUCUCUCUCUCCUUCCAAACCCUAGACCGCCUCCCUGCCCUGUCACCGUCGGAUCGUCUCCUUCUCCACCCCUCUCGCUGACGAGGAGCCGGCGCUCGGGGAGGACGAGGAGAUGGCCGCCUCCUGGGAGCAGGAGGAGGAGGAGGGGCAUGCGGCGCCGGCGACUAAGAAGGCCAGGAACGUGGCCACCGGCGACAAGGAGCCCGAGUUCCUCGGCGAGCCGUCCCCGCUCAGCCGACCAAGAAGGCCAGGCCAGGAACGUGGUCCCUUCCAUCCAUCCUCCUUCUCACGGCCGUUCCUCCUGGCCGGGAUGAUUUCAUGGUCGUGUUGCAGUUGGUUCCAGUUCUGACCGCACGCCUCGCAUCCGCCGUCUGUCGUCCACCGUUUGCUCGGUUGCCGCCGUGGAAAAGUUAAUUCUUCCUUCCUUUUUUUGUCCUUCCAGUUUUCCUGCUGAUGUGCACCUAUACAUGAGCAAUUGAUUUUCUCUAAAAAAUACAUGAUGUUGUUCCAUUCGCUUUCUCUAAUUGAUGUGGUUGAGCAAUUGAUUUUCUCUAAAAAUACAUGAUGUUCUUCCAUUCGCUUUCUGGUCUGAUCCUAAAUAUCAUGUGUAUCAAACUAAUCAUUGAUACUGCAACUAAAGCUAGCUCUUAUGGAGAUAGAGAAUUACUACACUGCUGUCUGCAUGCGUGUGAAGCUCUUAUGGAGAUAAUUACUUACAUACCAAAACCAUAUAUGAGUCCGCUGUUUAUUAUUGUUCACCAGAAAUGAUGAUAAAUUUGGUAAUUAACUGGUGUCUAUUAAGUGUUAACUUUAUCGAAAAAAUAUUGUGUGUUCCGGGCCUAUGAGUCUUUGUUUUGUUUGUUUUCCAUAGCACACAGUAAAUAAAACAGAGCACAGAGCAGUAGCCUUUGGAGCAGGUUACAGUUUCUACUUGGAAUUAAAGGAUUUGGAGUAGGCUACAUCUGUGAUGACACAGAUUGGUUAUGCAUGAUCUCUUAGUAAUGAAACUCUUUCCUUGCCUGUACCUAAUCUUGUAUGUUCAAUUCUUUUUCCUUUUGAGUGGAUUUCUAUAUGCAAUACCAUCUAUUUCUAAUGAAUUUUUAUGUUGCUUGUUGCCUUUUUUAAUUAGAUAGAUCCAAUAAUUAUACCAAUGAAUAGAUCUUUUUUGUGACUGAUAUAUGAUUCAAUGAUAUAAAUGCUAUAUAUUUUGUAUCCGAUAUGCAAGGUUACCUGAAUCUCCUCGCAUAUUUUUUUUUUGAAGGAAGAGUGAACGCAGUCCUGAAUGCAGUCAAUAGGCGCACUCCAUUUAGAACAAUGGAAGCAUCAUUAAAUUAACUUGGUUGACAGAUGGUUCAAGCUGCUCGUCGUCUAAUGGAAAGCUUGGCCUAAUCAAAAUAUCUGGGAGGUAGCUAUGGUAGUCUCAUUGUAAUUUCUACUCUAACAUCAAGGUUCUCCAUGAUGAUUGAGAUGAUCGUGACUACUUUACAAGCUUUUGGAAGCUGUGACAGAAGGCAUGGAAACCAUGGGAAGGAGGAGGCAUACCAUUGAUAGUUUGAAUCAAACCAGUAGAGGACACCACCGUCGGUUAUGGUGUCGAGUGACGGAACUGCAGUGAUCUGGCAGUGUGGCUGUUGACCUCCUUAACAUCAUUCAUGUUCGUCGCUCUGAACCCACUCAGCAGACAAAUUUGGAGGCAAAAUAUAAGGGGGACUGCAAACCGGUCAACACUACGCACAAGGAAAUUCCGCCGUGUGCACACGGGAUCCGGUGAUCUGCCACUACGGAACUCGCCAGAAUCUCGCCAGAAACUCGCCGUUUACCGCUGCUGCGGCGUCGGCUUGCAGAGUAGAUCGCUGGAGCAGUGGCUGGAGACUCGAGCAGCUACGCGGCCACGAACGAGCUAGCUAGCAAGCUCCUGAUCCAUCCGGCCACGAACGAGCUAGCUAGCUAGCUAGCAAGGUCCUCGAUCCAUCCAGCCACGAACAAGCUAGCUAGCUAGCUCCCGGAUCCAUCCGGCAACGAAGGAGUUGGCUCCUGGAUCGAUUCGGCGACUACCAUGGACGACGGGAGCUGGCUAUGAACACGGGCGAGAGGAAGAAGAAGACACGGGAAAGAAUAUAUGCGAAUAUUCUUUUUUACGGGUUCGUUAUGCAGGGUCUACAUCUGCGGCCGUCCGCGCCAGCCCGCAGAGCCUUUUUUUGGAACUGCAAACGCGUUUUGCAGGCCGGCGGGAUGCGGGGUCUGCUAGAGAUGCUCUUACAGACGUGAGCUUCACAUCACACCCUGUUGUAUAAUCUACCUCGAUUAAAUGUUGCGGGGCUAAAUCCUUCUGCUUUAUCAUGAGGACAACAAUAGUGUUCAUGUGAGCUUGAACUGUGGUGGAUGCGACUGAUAUUUCAACCGCAUAUGAAGAUGAAGUUCUUUUUGUUUCUCAAGUAAUAUUAUCGUAUAUAGGCGUGAUGCCUCUGCAGAGGCAUUUUGGAUCAAUACCUUAUCUUUAUUGUAAAUUAUGUGUGAUCACCGUGAUGAGACACCUUCGGAUGGAUUUAUUACUCCAUAGUUAUUGUAAAUUAUGAACAAAUUAUGCUGUAGUUCCAGUGUUAGUUAUCUGAUCUACUAAAUAUGCCUAUGUUAUCCUGUA